AGCAGCUCGUCAAUCUGCCACUCUGUAGCUCUUUAUAUGCCCGCUGAGUCAUAGCCACCGAGUGUCAAAGCCUCUCAGUAGGUUUGUGACGUCAUCCUCGGAAGUGUUAGCAAACCAUAAGCGAAAGCGGUAUUCAGAUUUGUAUUAAGAGAAAGCCAUAAUAAAUAGUUUAAAUAGUAAAUAAUAAUAAUAGCAAUUAAGAAUUUAUAAGUGGUGAAUUCUUAGUUUUUUAGAAGAAUAAAUCAAUGUUAUUUAUCACGUUAUAACUCAAUAAAAUGAAGGACUGUUUGAUGCUCUUCAUAAAACAACAUUUGAGAGAUUAUAUGAAGUUGAAUAUCGAAAACUACCUGAUCCAGCCCUAUAUAAUUUGUAAUCCAGUCUCCUCUCGAUGUCAUGUGAGCAUUGAAACCCGAAAAACAUUCAGUCUGCUGGCUUAACUUGUUUUCCAUAACUGUGAAAUGUCUUUGUUUACUAUUUUCUUCUUUGAACUGUUCUUCGUCGGACAAUGUGUACUUAGAUGUUCGUAUUUAUUGCAACUAUAACCAUGGUUUCUUGAUUUUUUUUGCACUUGACGGAAAUCUGUUCAAAUUUUUAUAAAAGGUACUUUCAGAAUUCUUCGUUGAUGUUACAAA